GCCUAACUCUGGGAUAAGCCUGGGAACUGGGUCUAAUACCGGAUAGGAGCGUCCACCGCAUGGUGGGUGUUGGAAAGAUUUAUCGGUUUUGGAUGGACUCGCGGCCUAUCAGCUUGUUGGUGAGGUAAUGGCUCACCAAGGCGACGACGGGUAGCCGGCCUGAGAGGGUGACCGGCCACACUGGGACUGAGACACGGCCCAGACUCCUACGGGAGGCAGCAGUGGGGAAUAUUGCACAAUGGGCGAAAGCCUGAUGCAGCGACGCCGCGUGAGGGAUGACGGCCUUCGGGUUGUAAACCUCUUUCAGUAGGGAAGAAGCGAAAGUGACGGUACCUGCAGAAGAAGCACCGGCUAACUACGUGCCAGCAGCCGCGGUAAUA
rnacentral:rRNA from 1 species